rnacentral:rRNA from 1 species
GACGAACGCUGGCGGCGUGCUUAACACAUGCAAGUCGAACGGAAAGGCCCUGCUUUUGUGGGGUGCUCGAGUGGCGAACGGGUGAGUAACACGUGAGUAACCUGCCCUUGACUUUGGGAUAACUUCAGGAAACUGGGGCUAAUACCGGAUAGGAGCUCCUGCUGCAUGGUGGGGGUUGGAAAGUUUCGGCGGUUGGGGAUGGACUCGCGGCUUAUCAGCUUGUUGGUGGGGUAGUGGCUUACCAAGGCUUUGACGGGUAGCCGGCCUGAGAGGGUGACCGGCCACAUUGGGACUGAGAUACGGACCAGACUCCUACGGGAGGCAGCAGUGGGGAAUAUUGCACAAUGGGCGGAAGCCUGAUGCAGCAACGCCGCGUGCGGGAUGACGGCCUUCGGGUUGUAAACCGCUUCCGCCUGUGACGAAGCGUGAGUGACGGUAAUGGGUAAAGAAGCACCGGCUAACUACGUG